GUUCAACAAGAAGGCUUUGGUUCAGCUCAUUCGAUGUGCGAACUGCUUUUGAUUCAUUUUCAGAAAUGGGACUCUAAUCAUGUUGUCUGGGAUGUGCUGGUUUCUGCUUAUUCCCAUUGUCAGAUGGUUGAUGAUGCGCUCUUUGUUUUUGCAAAGAUGAAAGAUUUCGAUAUCCAGGCUUCUGUAUUUACAUACAAUAAUUUGUUGUAUAAUUUGAGGCAUACUGAUUACAUCUGGGAUGUUUACUAUGACAUGAAAGACAGUGGGAUAAACCCGAGUGAGCAUACUAAUUCCAUUCUUAUAGAUGGUCUGUGCAAACAAUUCUUGAUUCAAAAAGCUGUUAAUUUUGUUCGAGGGACUGAAUGUAGAGAGUCUGAGCCUUGUGUUGUGUCUUUCAAUGCUCUUAUGUCGAGUUUCUGUAAAAUGGGUUCUG
rnacentral:misc_RNA from 1 species